rnacentral:hammerhead_ribozyme from 1 species
AUCCAGCUGACUAGUCGCAAAUAGGACGAAACGCACAUACUGGAU